CUUCCCAAAAUGGCCCAGCAUUUCUGAGAUUCAAAUCACCAGUUCUUCCAUAUAUGACCAGAGGGUGACAUAUCCAAGGAAAAUCUGAACUCUGUCUUGACUGAGCUACCCUGAGCCUACUACAUGCUGAUUGGCUUAGGCUAAGGGCUGUGAUACACUGACAUGUGCCACAAAAGUCAAAACUCAGUUCUUUGGAAGGAAACAGAUCAUCAUUUAAGACACAGAACCUGAUGGAUGAUUCUGGACGUUAAUGCUGUGGAGACACAAGAAAGGUGAAAACCCUUCACAACUCAUGAUCAAGGUAUGGAAACGUUUCCCCACCUAUCUGAGGUCUUGGCAGAUCCAGCAGUCCGGCAUUCCUCAAAGUUGAAGGAAACCAGAGCACCCAACCCAGCAUCAAAGUCUUGAAUGACGUCGGCCUCGCCUCAUCAUUAAGCCACACAUCAUCACAUUCCGAUGACUCUGGGUUUAAAUUUUGUUUUUUUUCAGUCUC
rnacentral:lncRNA from 1 species